rnacentral:rRNA from 1 species
CAGCAGCCACGGUAAUACAGAGGGUGCAAGCGUUAAUCGGAAUUACUGGGCGUAAAGCGCGCGUAGGUGGUUUGUUAAGUUGGAUGUGAAAUCCCCGGGCUCAACCUGGGAACUGCAUUCAAAACUGACUGACUAGAGUAUGGUAGAGGGUGGUGGAAUUUCCUGUGUAGCGGUGAAAUGCGUAGAUAUAGGAAGGAACACCAGUGGCAAAGGCGACCACCUGGACUAAUACUGACACUGAGGUGCGAAAGCGUGGGGAGCAAACAGGAUUAGAUACCCCCGUAGUCCCUGUCUCUUAUAA